UACAGAGGGUGCAAGCGUUAAUCGGAAUUACUGGGCGUAAAGCGCGCGUAGGUGGUUUGUUAAGUUGGAUGUGAAAUCCCCGGGCUCAACCUGGGAACUGCACUCAAAACUGACAAGCUAGAGUAUGGUAGAGGGUGGUGGAAUUUCCUGUGUAGCGGUGAAAUGCGUAGAUAUAGGAAGGAACACCAGUGGCGAAGGCGACCACCUGGACUGAUACUGACACUGAGGUGCGAAAGCGUGGGGAGCAAACAGG
rnacentral:rRNA from 1 species